rnacentral:tRNA from 1 species
GAGGGUAUAGCUCAGCAGUAGAGUGACUGCUUAGUAUUCACGAGGUCGUGGGUUCAAUCCCCAGUACCCCCA